GCUGUUAAAUCGACUGCAAACAAAGGUGUCACCUCACCUCACCUUCACAGUUCUUCAGAGUCUCAGCCCUAUGCCCCGGCUUGUUUGUUUCCUUCUUCCUUCCGGUUCACAUGCUCACCAUCACCUGCAGAGGCCGGAGGCUCGUUUCCUCCUUAUUAAAAAAAAAAUGCUCACCAUCACCUAGUAGGAGUAUUUUUCUACUCCAUGCCAAUAAUUUUCUCCAGAAAAAGUAAAGUUUGGAUGGGAGAAGGGGAGCUAGCAGCCGCACUCUGCCCUCCACUCACCCUCACUCACUCACUCACUCUUCACAGGUCACCAUUACCCACUUG
rnacentral:lncRNA from 1 species